CCAAUAGCGUAUAUUAAAGUUGUUGCAGUUAAAAAGCUCGUAGUUGAAUUUCGGGGUCAGUAGAUUGGUCAUGCCACUGGUAUGUACUGGUCUCACUGAUUCCUCCUUCCUGAUGAGCCGUAAUGCCAUUAAUUUGGUGUUGCGAGGAAUCUGGACUGUUACUUUGAAAAAAUUAGAGUGUUUAAAGCAGGCUAACGCUU
rnacentral:rRNA from 1 species